ACGCUGGCGGCAGGCCUAACACAUGCAAGUCGAAGGGGAAGCCUUCCUUCGGGAAGGUGGAAACUGGCGCACGGGUGAGUAACGCGUGGGAAUCUACCCUGGGGUGGGGAAUAACCGCUGGAAACGGCGGCUAAUACCGCAUACGCCUCGCGAGGGAAAGCUUUUGCGCCCUGGGAUGAGCCCGCGUCGGAUUAGGUUGUUGGUGGGGUAAUGGCCUACCAAGCCUGCGAUCCGUAGCUGGUCUGAGAGGAUGAUCAGCCACACUGGGACUGAGACACGGCCCAGACUCCUACGGGAGGCAGCAGUGGGGAAUAUUGGACAAUGGGGGCAACCCUGAUCCAGCCAUGCCGCGUGCGUGAAGAAGGCCUUAGGGUUGUAAAGCGCUUUCGGCGGGGAAGAUGAUGACGGUACCCGCAGAAGAAGCCCCGGCUAACUCCGUGCCAGCAGCCGCGGUAAUACGGA
rnacentral:rRNA from 1 species